AUUGAACGCUGGCGGCAUGCUUUACACAUGCAAGUCGAACGGUAACAGGUUAAGCUGACGAGUGGCGAACGGGUGAGUAAUGCAUCGGAACGUGCCCGAUCGUGGGGGAUAACGCAGCGAAAGCUGCGCUAAUACCGCAUACGAUCAGAGGAUGAAAGCGGGGGACCGUAAGGCCUCGCGCGAUCGGAGCGGCCGAUGUCAGAUUAGGUAGUUGGUGGGGUAAAGGCCCACCAAGCCGACGAUCUGUAGCUGGUCUGAGAGGACGACCAGCCACAGUGGGACUGAGACACGGCCCAGGCUCCUACGGGAGGCAGCAGUGGGGAAUUUUGGACAAUGGGCGAGAGCCUGAUCCAGCAAUGCCGCGUGCAGGAAGAAGGCCUUCGGGUUGUAAACUGCUUUUGUACGGAGCGAAAAGGUCCUUUCUAAUACAAGGGGCUCAUGACGGUACCGUAAGAAUAAGCACCGGCUAACUACGUGCCAGCAGCCGCCGUAA
rnacentral:rRNA from 1 species